rnacentral:misc_RNA from 1 species
UUCACUUGCAAUUUUUUUUUUUUAUUCAAUGCAGCUCAACGAAAAUAAUAGUAAUAGAAUCAACCUCAAAAUGUGAACAGUGUUUUGAGUUUUGACUGUAUGGAAUACAAAGAAAUCAUAGGACCAAUGGACUAUUCAUAAUAAUGUGAAAAAAAAAAAUGUUUUGAUAUCAACAUACAAGACUACAGAGGGGCUGGCUUUCCAGAAGGCAAAACUCUGGUAAGUCGAAACCCAUGCAAUGCUACUUCCAGCUUCAACUCUACUUGAAGGUUCAAGCAAUUAUAGAAGUGAGAGAUCUCCAGCAGGAAUUGAUCUCUUUACUAGUUUAGCCCAAGAUUCGUUUGUUUCGGUGAUGACCUUCAAAGCAUAAUCCUGCUCAUCACAGAGAAAUUGUAUAUCAAAGAAGAACAUUGAUCAUUAUAAUAUAAAAUAGUUACUGUAGAAGAAGAACAUUUCUCAUUUUCCAGCGUAUGAUUAUACCAUAUAGGAACUUGCUAUUGCUAUUAUCUGAUUAAGCACACAGCAUCAUCAUACAUCAAUACCCAUGUGCUAAGCAGCUGUAGUAUCCUUCUUGCCAGCACAAUAAUCUCUUAGCCAAGGCUACUAAUCUUGCAUAAGACAAGAUGCGUGCUUAUUGUUAAAGAAUAUGGCAUUCAAUUUAUUCCUCAGUUUGUAUUGGAUCCAACAUGUGCAAAAUGAAAUUAACAGAGACAAUUUCGUAUCAAAACAAAGUAUAAAGCAUGCAUAAUAACACCAUACAGUAUGCCUAUCCCACAUAACAUUUAAAUUAAAAGAGAAUAGAAGAGGGGAAACAAAUCAGAAGUGAUAUAAACGUUUCAGAAUGGUUAACAACAGAAGUAGAUUUGGGGAAAAAAAUUAUUACCUUGUUUGCUGCAUUAUUGCCGAGACCAAACUUGUUGGCAGGCUUACCAUCAGGGAUCUUGUAGUCUCUGAACCAGUCCCUGAUUGCAGUGAGAGUGCCCUUGUAAAAACAACAGCAGGUUGAUUCAAAAUUCUAUUAUUUGGUAAAGAAAUGAUUAUGUUUUUCAUGAUAACAGUAUCAGUACAUCAAUUUCAAAAAUUCAGUUAGCGUCUAGGACCAUAUUUGCCUUAAACUCAAAAUCCAACGCAUAAAUUCUAAAUUGAAGUAAUCUUAGCCCAUAGUCGCCUGGGCAUAAUGCAUACCAUAGUCAAUACAACAUUAUGCAAUAUUGGAAGAAGAAUCAAAUAGGAAUUGUAUUCAAUGUAGAAUUAGGAAGUUUUGAGUUUUAUUAUUUAGGAAUUAUAUUAUUAUUAGAUUUAUUAUUAUUUUAGUUUUUUUGUUUAGAAUUCUUAAUUAGAGUUUGAACUUGGUUUCUUAAUCCUAAUAUAAUUAGGGUUACAAAAAUCUAUAAAUAGGGCUUAGAAUUUCUACUUAUUUACUAGAAAAUAACAAUAAACAUAAUAAUAGAAUUCUUAAAUAAUAAAACUAUAAACUUCAAAAUUCUACAAUGAAUAAAAUUCCUAAGUAUCCUAAGUUAAUUCUUCUUCCAAUACUUCAUCACAAUGUCAUCAAAAUCAGAUGUUAAUCUAUGGCUGCCACUGUCAACAAAACUGAACAUCUCCAACUACAUAUUCUAGUUGUCCUCGCAUAUCUGUCCACUUCUGUAUCAUGACUUACUAACUUUAUGAAAACAAUUAUUUAUUAUUUGUGUCAAUCAUGCUGACAAGGAAAAGCUUUGACAUAGACCCUCCCUUUUGUAAACACAGUCCAAAUAUUUGGCAUCAAAAUCUCUUGCAAACCAUGGCUUCAGGAAAGCCGCCCUGCACAAUGCUAAAUGAACGCAUUAGCUGAAGUUAACAAAGGGUUACAGAUAAUCAUUUCCCAUUAUAUAGAACCUUUUCUGUCUGAUCAUUUUGGUAGCAUAUGGCAAAACAACAGUUAGCUAGAUUAUGGAUUUACAAAAUCAAAUUGAAGGAUGCUUACUGGGAAAUGUUUCUCUACAUCAUCAACAUCAUUUACAAGAGAAGCUCGUUGAUCAUCCAAUGAGAUGGCAACAAUUUUCCAGUCAAGUUCACCCUCAUCAAUCAUGGCUAAAGCAGCCAAGGGCUUGACCUUCAGAAUUUCACCAAUCUUUCCCCGUCUUUCACCAAUCUCAACAACAUCAACUGGAUCAUUAUCGCCAAAUGCCCCUUCCACCUCAUGGUUUGCAAAAGAUGGGUCUUCCCAUGUUUGUGGAAGCAAUCCAUAGUUCCAGUUUAUGUUAUAGGGGUAAUAUCUAAGUUUCCCCUUUUUCGUGUCCUGCUUGAUUGGAGUGAAAUACUCAUCAGUAGCAACUUCCAUCUUUGCAUUUGUUUCUUUGGGAAUUUCAACAACAAAGUUGAACACACCGUCACCCAAGUGCAAGGGUAUGUCAUGCCAAGGAGAAACCUUUUUCCCAGAGUUGUCGAGGAAGAAAACACGGUAAUCGAGCGUCUCAGGCUGACCUUCCUCCUUGAUCAGGACAUCAGGCUUAUGUAAAGCGGUACAAGUGAAAAGCGAUCUCUUGGAAGAGGACAAGGACAGUUGCCUUGUCCCACUAAAGCAGAAUCCUCUGAAGUGAGGCCUUUGGUUCAAAGCGAAUGUUCUUCUGAGAAGAAAGCAAGAUGUUGUCGCGUUGGUCGCAGCAGCUGCUGCCAUCACUCUGGCGGCCGCCAUUUGACGUCGGUGAGGUAAACGGAAAUGGAGAUUGGUAGAUACUGAUUUGUCCUGUAGUCUCUGAUAGACUGUGACUGUAUUUUUUUGAACCUUUGAGCCACACAGAAGAAA